UAACGCGUGAGCAACCUGCCCAUAAGAGGGGGAUAACAGCUGGAAACGGCUGCUAAUACCGCAUAAGACCACAUUGCCACAUGGCAGAGGGGUCAAAGAUUUAUCGCUUAUGGAUGGGCUCGCGUCUGAUUAGCUAGUUGGUAGGGUAACGGCCUACCAAGGCGACGAUCAGUAGCCGACCUGAGAGGGUGAUCGGCCACACUGGAACUGAGACACGGUCCAGACUCCUACGGGAGGCAGCAG
rnacentral:rRNA from 1 species